UAGAGUUUGAUCCUGGCUCAGAUUGAACGCUGGCGGCAUGCCUUACACAUGCAAGUCGAACGGCAGCACGGGAGCAAUCCUGGUGGCGAGUGGCGAACGGGUGAGUAAAGUAUCGGAACGUGCCCAGUCGUGGGGGAUAACGUAGCGAAAGUUACGCUAAUACCGCAUACGAUCUAUGGAUGAAAGCGGGGGAUCGCAAGACCUCGCGCGAUUGGAGCGGCCGAUAUCAGAUUAGGUAGUUGGUGGGGUAAAGGCUCACCAAGCCGACGAUCUGUAGCUGGUCUGAGAGGACGACCAGCCACACUGGGACUGAGACACGGCCCAGACUCCUACGGGAGGCAGCAGUGGGGAAUUUUGGACAAUGGGCGCAAGCCUGAUCCAGCCAUGCCGCGUGCAGGAUGAAGGCCUUCGGGUUGUAAACUGCUUUUGUACGGAACGAAAAGGUUUGACUUAAUACGUUGGACUCAUGACGGUACCGUAAGAAUAAGCACCGGCUAACUACGUGCCAGCAGCCGCGGUAAU
rnacentral:rRNA from 1 species